GUUAUUCCUGCUGUAUGGAAGAGAUGGACAUCUCUGGUUACAUGGGAAUCUUUUUCAUCUCUUACACUCUGACUAAAUGAUGGGAACAGAACGGGUUUACAGUUACUUGUGAAGAGGAGGUAAACAUAUAGUCUGACCUCACACUUGGAGUACAGGAAAAUCCAAAUAGGAGAGAAAUGAACACUGCCUUCAAUAGCAGCUCAGUUGGUGGGAGUGCAGGAUAUGUGAAGAAGGAUAAGAGGUACUGGAGGCUAGAGCUUCAAGACAGAUUCAGUGUUGCUGCCCAGGUGAAUCUACACUACAUCUGCUGUUGGCAUUUUCACCUUUUAAUCCAGCAACAAGUUGAGGUUGAAGUCAGUGACAAUGGAGAAAGCCCAAUCUCUAACUGGAACAGAACAAGAUGCAGAAGCUAUAAUCAGAUGUAUAUAGCCUUUUUUAAAGGGUAAGAAGAUCUGCUCCAGUAUAAUAUUUUAUGAAUCCCAAGUAACAGCAUCCCAGGUGUGCAGUGUCAGAUGUGCCUUGGGUUUUUUCUUUGCUUGGACUACUGACAAGACCUGUUAUGAGAUGUGAGGAAGGCAGAAUGGAAUCCAUUACCUGUGGAAAAGUGGCAUGCUUGCAAGGGAUACCAAACUGCAUAUACAAGU